GUUAUUAAAAACAUGGCUUGUUGAUAAUGAUUUCAAGUCUGGCCUGCCCACUGAGAAUUUAAAUGGCCGCGGUAUAUUGACCGUGCAAAGGUAGCAUAAUCAUUAGUUUUUUGAUUGGAAGCUUGAAUGAAGGGUCUGAUGAGAAAAUAGCUGUCUCUAGAGAAGUUAGUUAGAAUUUUAUUUUUAAGUUAAAAAGCUUAGAUUUUUAUAGAAGACGAGAAGACCCUAUAGAGUUUUAUAUAUGUGUUAAUAUCUAGAUAUUUAGUUAUAAGAUAUUGUUUAGGUUUUUAUACGUAUAUUUUGUUGGGGUGAUGGAAAAACUAGUUUAACUUUUUUUAAUUUUUAUAUUUAUAUAUAGAUAAAUGAUCCUAGGGUUUAGAUUAUAAGAUUAAAUUACCUUAGGGAUAACAGCGUAAUUUUUUCUAGAGUUCUUAUCGAAGAAAUAGUUUGCGACCUCGAUGUUGGAUUAAAAUUUAUUACUGGUGCAGAAGCUGGUAGGUUGGGUCUGUUCGACCUUUAAAAUUUUACAUGAUCUGAGUUUAAACCGGUGUGAGCCAGGUCGGUU
rnacentral:rRNA from 1 species